UUUCACUGUGUUUCCCAAUGUCAUUGAAGACCAAUCACAUGUUCAUUAGCUCUCAUAAAGAUAUUUGCACAGACAGAGCUGUGAGAGUACAUUUGAAGAUACCGCUCUCGAAAUCAACCAACUUCACGGUCAUUUUGCAUCCAUGUCCACUAGACUUGCCAACCCCCAUACUUCUGCCUUUGUAUUCCUAUGGGGAAUCUUCCCCGAGAAGAGACGUUUCUCCUGCCUACUGCCUUGCUCCUUUAAAGAAACAUAUAUUUUUGUCUAGAAUGACUAGUUAAUCUUGCAUAUUCUGAAAAGUGCUUGGGAUCAGUACCUAGGUGGCAUUCUAUGUGCACACAUACCAUGACGGAAGUAUAAAGGGGCCCGUGUUUCCACUAUUGAUUGGCCUGCAGAGUUCGUGUAUUUUGUGGCAUUUCACCCUUCUGCCUGUGAAAGGUUUUUGUUAACUAAUAUUUUCCAAAGCCUUUGUCCCCUUCCUUCCCCUCUUACCUCUUCCCCUGUCCUUUCCUCUUUUCUUCCCCUCACCCUCCACCUCUCUUUCUCGAUUAAUUUUUUGAGACAUUUAGACAUUUUCUGACAUGCCAAAUUCCUGCAGUAUGAGCCCAUGGCUGGUCAGUCCUCUGGUCCUAAGUUCAAACAGGACUUUCACAGUCUCUUAUCUCCACCAUAUCAUUUUAUUUCCUAAGAACCUCACAUGCACUGACUGGACUACACAAAGCAGAGUCCAAGUAGUCUCGAUACACCUUCCCAGAUGCACACAUCUACAGUCUUGAUUUGAACCUGUUUCUCAUGGCCGUCCUUGUCCAAAGCUUGGCUCACGUAGGGAGGGGUUUGAGCUGUAAAUCUCCCUGGGGCAGUGGACAAACAGGUGAGUGGUUUGCAAUGGUGGUUGAAUCAUCUGCGAGGGGCCAGUGAAGGCUAAAGUAUACUAGUGUCUGUGUGCAUGUGUAUACAUGUGAAGACCCCAGUGCACGCCUGUGUACCUGUGUACAUACUGGUGCUGUACUGACUUCCUGUCACAUAACCUGCUACCGUCUGAAGACUCUAGGACAGAGAGAAGGAUCCUGAAGGAAAGCUGUUGUGCCUUAUGUAUCUCAGUCUGGAACAAGCUGCACUUCCAUUUUGUCUUGUUUGAGAUCGCAUCAUACUUCCCCACAGCUGGUCAGUCACAUAGUGACUAUUAUAGAUUAACUUAAGUUUUCCAUAUUCUAGCCCAUAAGCAAAUCUUUUGGAAGGAAGUAGUAACGUUAAACUUAGAAACUUGAAAUUUUGACUACAACUUUUCAUAUUCCUAGGUAAUGUAUAUCUGACCAAAAAUGAUUUUGCUGAGGUCUUAAGGUCAAUACAAACCACCAUUUCCUAUGUAAAUUUCAGAUGUGCCCAUGACUUUUGGUGGAAAAAAAAGUCUUCCAUAUUCUGUGUUUGUAAUUAUUUUUCUCAUUACACAUGUUGGUAUUCAAUAAUUUGGAGUUUGUGAAAUUAAAAAUUCUAAUUUCAACCAUUUGAGCUAAAAAGUAUAGGAGGAAUUGUGCCUGUGGUUGUUUCAGAACUUAAAGACAUGAUAGUGAGGUGGUUGUCUUUGGCCUCUUCGGGGGAAAUUUCCUGAAGGACUGAAAAUGAGAUAUUUUACUUAUUCUAAUGAAUAUUUACACAUUCAGUUGUGUUUCUGUAAGCCCUGGGAAACCUCUAAAGAUGCAACCAGUUCCUGGGAGGGACCAUCAGGAUUAUUUCCAUAAUUAUAAAUACAUAUUUCCUUUAUUAAUAAAGACCCUGAUUGUGCAUC
rnacentral:lncRNA from 1 species